UGUCAUAAGAUUUUCAAAAAAUCAAUCUCAAUGAAGAGGGUGUUGAAAUCAAGGAAACAUUUGAGGGAAUUCCAUAAUGUUUUCCCAUUCAAGCAAUAUCACAGACAAUCUUCCAUCCAAAUUCAAUAAAUUUGAAACCCAUUUUUGAGAUUUGUGCCUCAUUCUAUAACUGAAGGCAAUGUUAGGAAAUCAGGAGACAUCGUCGAGGGCCCCGGGAAGACUUAUCUUUUCUUUUUAACAACUUUCCCACCUAGAAAUCGGCUCAACCGGAGAUAGGGUCUAGCAGCUGGAAGAGCAUCGCAUGCCUUGCAGUGUCUGGUGCACCCUUGGUGGCCCUUAAAAAUCUAGAGGACCGAGUAUCAUCCAUGCCUGGUCAUACUCAUAAUUGCAUCAGGUCUCCAAGGUGAACAACCUCU
rnacentral:ncRNA from 1 species